rnacentral:lncRNA from 10 species
UUCCUUCAUUAUUUGUCAUUCCUGUCAAGGCCCAGGAAAGGCCCAGGCAAAACUCUUUGUGGGCUUUUGUUACAUUCCAGCCUUUGUAUAAGGGCACUGGUUCUUUCAGCUUUUAAUAUUUAACCACUCAGUCAGUGCUGAAACAGUUGUUAUGGAGGCCUGCCUCUUCAGCUGUUAAUGAGACCUGGCCUGCCACAGGCAGAGUGGAGAAUACCACACCAGUCACUCUGACAAACACUUGACAACCUGACCAGCAUUGGGCUAAUCUCUGAGAUCUCUGACUUGCAGCAACCUGCUUGGUGUUGUCUGUCAACAUUAUCCGUCCCUUUUGAGGGUAGUGUCAUCUGAUAACAUUUUUGAGUCAUGGGAAAUUUCCGGAAACAGAACAGCACACAGAAAGGACUGACCUAUUUCUCUUAGAGUAACAUCCUCGUGGCUCAUCCACUGAUUGAAGAAAUAUUUCUGUUGCUAGGAGAAAGGACCUUGAAACCUUGAAGUAUUCUGUGGUAUCCUGUGUGUACACAGUUCUUCUUCAAAGAGAACUUAGAGACAUUUACUUGGGUGACUUGACAUUAAAGGGAAGAGAUUGCCUAGAGCAGGGGGCAGCACACUGUGGACUGAGAACCAAAUCAAGCCAGGCAUCUGUUUUUGCAAAUAAAGUUUUAUUAGAAAACAGCAAUGUCCAUUCAUUUACACAUUGUCUAUGGCUGAUUUCAUGCUACAAUUGCAGAGUCCAUAAUUGCAACUAAGAUGUUAUGAUUUGCAAAACCUAAAGUACUCACCAAUUAACAUUUUAUAAAAUAUGUUUGCUGACCCUUGACAUUUGAGGACAGUUGGACAUGGGUCUAAGGUGACAUUGAUACCCAAAGAGCCAAAGCAUCAUCAUGGCCCCCUGAUAAAGUGGGAGCUUAUAGGGUUAUGUAAUAAUUAGUGUCCUGGGUGAAUUCAGUUAAAUUCUGCAGACCAACCCAGCAGUUCUCUUCCCAGUCCCUGAAUGGAUAAUUCGAUUAAUAUACUUGACCAUUGGGGUAGCUCCUGCAUUGGGCCCUUUGCCUGUCAAGUAAGAAGGACAUGUGAAACCACCUGAAACUGCCACCCAAGUCACCUACAUAGCAAAUCAAUAACAAUAUCGCAUGCUCAUAGGGGGCUGGAGUUGUGUUGAAGAGAUGAGUGUCAUUUUAAAAGUCCUUAAGCUUGUGGUGGGAUACGGAGUGGUGGGGGUUUUUAUCAUUUUCUUUUAACUCCUCAGUGCAGCCUCUUUAGUAGCAAGCUGUAUCCUGAAGGAGAACUGGAGAUUACCUCAACCAACCAAGUUGCCACUCUGAUGGCAGCUUCAGCUCCAGACACAGAGUUGUUUUUAGAAUUGAUUCCAACAGCCAAUUGGGCACAUGGUGCACAACCCUGAAUUGUUGGAUAUACUCUUCUCUUCUGAUCAGAACAGAAGUCUUAUUGGAAUUCAUGUGGAAAGGACAAUAGUUACUACUAGUCUUGCCCUAGAAUUAUGUUUACUCUACUUGGCCCUGUUAUAUAAGGGAACAAAGCCAUCUGGUGCAUCUGCAGAACACUAUGCUGAUCUACUUUGUCGAGACGUCAUGCUGAUUGGGUUGGAUAAGCAAGAAGCCAUGGAGGUCUUGGGAAGAUACAUGCACUCCAGAGGGUGGAUGCAGGAGCUAAACUCUGAGAAGAUUCAGGGACUUGUCACUUCAAUAAAGUUUUGAGGUGUUUAGAAGUCAGAGGAUUUGUAGAAUGUUUCUUACAGAGUUCAAGCAAAUUGUUGUUGCAUCUUGCAUCUCCUGCCACAAAGAAGGAAGUUGAUCACCUGGAUAGGUCCUUUGGGAUCUGGAGAUGACACCUUCUACAUCAGAUGACUUAGACCAUGGGCAGCUAGGAACAGGUCCUUGGGACAGGAAAGGGCUCUGCAGUAGGUUCACUCUGUAGUGGAUGCUUCCCUGCCACGUGGUCUGUGAAACCUACACUCCCCAUGGGGGUGUCAGUAGUAAGUGCACAUGCAAUGGGAGAAUCACAACACAGGCUCUUGGAAGAGAUGCAGUCCAUGCCAUCUGCAGCUGAAAAAUCCGCCCCCCCUUGGGACAUACUACCUGGCAUAGUACUGGACCCAGGUAAGUUUGGAAUGUCUGGCCAUAGGGUGCAUAUGUCCAUGCAUUUGAAAUUGAGCACUAUGAGCCUGUCACAUUUACCAAGUUAGAGUGAAUAGGCCACCCAGUAUUCCUUUGGAGGUUGGAAAUGGUACAUUCAAGGUCAGGGCUGUGAGUAACAAGCAGUCACUAUCCAAUUAAAAGAAAUCUGGGCAUAGAGCUUCUAUUCAAACAGAUUGUAGGAGGGAGGGGAGGAGGACUGUUGCAACAGGGAGGACCCUAGACAUGAGAUUGGCAGGUGUCUCUAAGGUCAGCCAGAGAGGAGCUUUUACAUUAUAGGGAGGAGUAAGGAGGCCAGAAAAAAAAAAAGAAGGACUGCAACAGGGGCUCGGGGAUUGUGUGUCUUUGAGACCAGCUGAUACUUAGGAGGGUUAAGGAGGCACCAUUCUGCAUUCAAGUGCUGAGCUAGGCUGAUGGUGGGCUGAAGAGAUGAGGAGAAAAUAGGAGGUGACUUAAAGGAAUAAAAGGUCUUCCACCUGUGAGAAUGGUUGCAGUCACAGCUCCCAGGAGUCUACCUUCCUGGAUCACUUCUAUUUGCUAAAUGAUUUUCCUUCCCCUUUCAUCAAAUGAUAAAUGCUCUUUCUCCAUUUCCUUGAGACUGGGCUGGCCUGUGGCUUGCUUUAUCUGAUAGGAUGUGCUGGAGAGGUGUGUGAGCUGGAGGCCUCGAAGGCCUUGCAGCUUCUGCUUAGAACCUCUUACAACGCCAACAUCAACUCCCCAUCAGCCUCCUGGGAAGAAGCCCAGUAACCCCAAUGGAAGCAUGAGAGGCCCUAGGAGAAGAAUUAAGAUGCCAUCGCCAACAGCUGGCACCAGCAUUCCAGAGUCUGAAUGAGGCCAGCUUGGAUCCCAAUCAGCUGCAUGAGUGACCCCAGGAGAGAUAAAAUGUUCUACAGGAAUCAAAGCUUGUCAUUCACUCAGGCCCUCACUUGGUGGCAGUAUGUUAGAGAAGACUGCUUGUUCCAGAGCCUGGUUCUCAGCUUUGCAAUCUACAGAUGGUUCAUUCUAGCCACGUGUGCAAGGAUGUGAUAUACUAGAGUGCACAUUGAUUACUUGAACUUCCUUGAAAUAUCAUUUUCAAGACAAGACUACUAAGGACUAAUCUUCAUCAUCAUCAUCAUCAUUAACAUAAUCACAGCUGACAUUUACUGAACAUUAGCAAUGUGGUAAGCACUGCAGUAGGAGUUUUCACGUGUCUACUCAUGUAAUCCUCAAUGCAACCUUAAAGAAGACUACAAUGCCAGCAUCUGGGAUAACUACUAGAAUGUUCUCUGCCAUCCACUAAGCAUUGAAUCCCUCCAGACACUGUUACAACAGACAAAAACCUGUACUGGGCUACUGACAACAAAGCUGUGGCAAAUCUCUGGAAAAGCCCAACAUUCGGCUGUGGGAGAAAGAAGAGAAUUAUCCAAAAUAGAGUGAGCAGGAAAGGCUCCAAGGAUGUGAAGAAAACGAGGCCAGAGUGCUCUGGAGGCCAACAGGAAGGUAGUCUCCAGAAUUGUGCAAGUGACGUACUUUCAGGUUUGCUGCCAUUCACAACAGACAACCUACCAGCUUUCAUGGUCUAAAGAGGGCUUAAAUUUAAUUUGCAAAUAUCUUCAGAGAAGAAAUACAGUCUCUACAGUCUAUACUGAGUUAUAAGUGACUGAUACCAGCUCUUCAUUAGAAGGUUGUUCUUUCUUCUAUUUGCCAUGAACUACAGGGGUCAAAAGAAGGGUUAGCACUAUCCUAGCUCCCUGUUAAUUCUUGCAAAUCAGCACUCUUUUAUAACCCUUUGUAACAUCCCAUUUCAAUGCAUAAUAGAAGGUAUGCAGUCUUCCACCUCCUCAUUGGUGGGUGCCAUUUACACACUCCUGGCCAAUCCCCUCAUUCAUGAAUGAUAUUCAUACCUUCCUUAAAGUCAUCAUGCUUAAUGUCUUCUAUAGCAUUGAAUAAACUCUGUACUAUUUCCUUCACAG